rnacentral:rRNA from 1 species
GACGAACCGUGCGACCGUUGUUCGGAAUCACUGGGCUUAAAGGGCGCGUAGGCGGGCUAUCAAGUCCGGGGUGAAAUCCUCCAGCUCAACUGGAGAACUGCCUCGGAUACUGAUGGUCUCGAGGAGGAUAGGGGCACACGGAACUGUGGGUGGAGCGGUGAAAUGCGUUGAUAUCCAUAGGAACUCCGGUGGCGAAAGCGGUGUGCUGGAUCCUUUCUGACGCUGAGGCGCGAAAGCCAGGGGAGCAAACGGG